rnacentral:rRNA from 1 species
UACGAAGGGGGCUAGCGUUGCUCGGAAUCACUGGGCGUAAAGCGCACGUAGGCGGAUUGUUAAGUCAGGGGUGAAAUCCUGGAGCUCAACUCCAGAACUGCCUUUGAUACUGGCGAUCUCGAGUCCGGGAGAGGUGAGUGGAACUGCGAGUGUAGAGGUGAAAUUCGUAGAUAUUCGCAAGAACACCAGUGGCGAAGGCGGCUCACUGGCCUGGUACUGACGCUGAGGUGCGAAAGCGUGGGGAGCAAACAGGG